UUCUGCUAUCGCGCUCAUCCGGGUGUUAGGCAUCCUCAGUCUGUCCAGAACUUUCCCUGUGGAAGGAUGUACUUAAGUGAGGUGCGAUUUCUUGUGCGACGUACUUUGCUCAUUUACGUUUUGUGCCGUGUUCCUUCUUCCUCAGUUAUGAAAUGAUUUAUCCUAGCAAAUUGUUGAGUUACAGGUGUGUGCGCUAUUUAUCAACGACUACCUGCUAGCCUCGUCAACAAUCUUCAAAGUGAGCGACGGAAAGAAAACAUUUUCCAGUUUUAAAAUAUUAAGCCCCCGGUGAGGACGUCAUUACUUAACAGAAGCCGGUUCAACACGCACAGCUCCUGUUCAUGACGUCAUCAUAAAACUGAAGCCAGCAUAACACGCGCAGCACGGA